rnacentral:snoRNA from 1 species
CACUAGAGGCAUUGCAGGUGUGGCUGCUGUAUCUCAUGUGUGUCAGUGGGUG